rnacentral:rRNA from 1 species
CCACGGGAGGCAGCAGUGGGGAAUAUUGGACAAUGGGCGAAAGCCUGAUCCAGCAAUGCCGCGUGAGUGAUGAAGGCCUUCGGGUCGUAAAGCUCUUUUACCAGGGAUGAUAAUGACAGUACCUGGAGAAUAAGCUCCGGCUAACUCCGUGCCAGCAGCCGCGGUAAUACGGAGGGAGCUAGCGUUGUUCGGAAUUACUGGGCGUAAAGAGUACGUAGGCGGUUAUUCAAGUCAGAGGUGAAAGCCCGGGGCUCAACCCCGGAACUGCCUUUGAAACUAGAUAACUAGAGUCUUGGAGAGGUUAGUGGAAUUCCGAGUGUAGAGGUGAAAUUCGUAGAUAUUCGGAAGAACACCAGUGGCGAAGGCGACUAACUGGACAAGUACUGACGCUGAGGUACGAAAGCGUGGGGAGCAAACAGGAUUAGAUACCCUGGUAGUCCACGCCGUAAACGAUGAUAACUAGUUGUUCGGUCACUUGGUGACUGAGUGACGCAGCUAACGCAUUAAGUUAUCCGCCUGGGGAGUACGGUCGCAAGAUUAAAACUCAAAGGAAUUGACGG